AUUGAACGCUGGCGGCAUGCCUUACACAUGCAAGUCGAACGGUAACAGGUCUUCGGAUGCUGACGAGUGGCGAACGGGUGAGUAAUACAUCGGAACGUGCCCGAUCGUGGGGGAUAACGAAGCGAAAGCUUUGCUAAUACCGCAUAAGAUCUACGGAUGAAAGCAGGGGACCGCAAGGCCUUGCGCGAACGGAGCGGCCGAUGGCAGAUUAGGUAGUUGGUGGGAUAAAAGCUUACCAAGCCGACGAUCUGUAGCUGGUCUGAGAGGACGACCAGCCACACUGGGACGGAGACACGGCCCAGACUCCUACGGGAGGCAGCAGUGGGGAAUUUUGGACAAUGGGCGAAAGCCUGAUCCGGCCAUGCCGCGUGCAGGAUGAAGGCCUUCGGGUUGUAAACUGCUUUUGUACGGAACGAAAAGACUCUUUCUAAUAAAGAAGGUCCAUGACGGUACCGUAAGAAUAAGCACCGGCUAACUACGUGCCAGCAGCCGCCGUAA
rnacentral:rRNA from 1 species